GUAUAUCAAAAUUUCUAAUCUCCCAUCAUAUUCACAUACAAACACAAACAAUAACAAACCAAACUUUUCUACCUACUCACAAUGGAGAUGGCUUUAAAGGUGAAGAUAACGGCGGUGGUGAUAUUGGUUGGCAUAGCAGGAAUAUCCAUAGUGAUGGAAAUGUGCGGCGUAGACGAGGAGGGUCUCACGGCAUGUAAGCCGUGGGUAACGAAACCAUGCCCGACCGAGAUGCCACCGGCCACUUGUUGCAAUAAGCUCUCCAAUGCCGACUUUAGUUGCUUUUGCAAAUAUAAGAACUCAAUGUUGCUAUCCUCAUUUGGGAUUGAUCCUGACCUUGCUCUUGCUUUGCCAGUUAAAUGCAACAUUACUAACACUCCAACUUGCUCUAGUUAAAGCUUGAGCAAAAUAAAUAUUUAUGAGUGUGUAAGUGGAAGUGGAAGUGGAAGUGGAAUGGGAGAAGACCAUCAUAUAUUGGGCCUCACUUAUCUUAUGUUUAAUUCUAUUUCAUUUCUUUUUCUACUUUUAAAAGAAAAUGUAAUUUUCUAAUUUUCUAAUUUUCUAAUUUUAUUUCCAUCAUUACAUUUACUACGAUGAUGAAUUGUAAUGGUAAUCGGUACUUUAUCCA